rnacentral:lncRNA from 1 species
AUAAGUGUUGUUAUGUGCGUAGUAAUUAAUUUAAAUGUAUUUUGUUACAGACGUUCCCCAGAAAAAUAUAUGAAAGACUUCUGCCCAAAAUCUGUACAACGUGUGCUAAGGUAUAUUUAUAAAUCAUAUUUCUAAAUCAAAACAUAGACUGUUACUGAACUAAUUUAGCAUUUUAUUAAACAAGUAAGAGUAAGACAAAGCAACAAAACUUGAAUUGUUUUCAAUUUAUUUACAUUUUUUUUAGAAACAACUUGGAAUCUGGGAAAUCAACAAGAUAUUGGAUGUCUAUUCCAACGUGUUCAACCAGGAAUCUUUGGAAGGUCUCUACCCCAAACACUUUGAGGAUCUCCUGGCAAGGCUGAAAACAGAUGUGCAAUCUUGUCUGGUGGAGUGCCCAACUAGACCAACAUGGACCAAGACAACCAUCAGGAAGAUGGAGAACACAUUUAAGAAGCUGGACACCAACGGGACUUACAAGGCCAUCGGAGAGUUCAAGACCGUCGUCCUGUGGAUCAGUGACAUGAGAGAGAGA